rnacentral:lncRNA from 1 species
UCUCCCAGCCAUCCUCAGGUCUUAGGUUACAGCCAGCCGUGGUUACCUUGUGACUUUGCUCCGAGAAAAUGGAUCUGGAGAAGGGAAGGGAAGGGGGGGAGGAGAGCCAAGAUUAGGCGUCCGGGACCGGGAGCGCGGUUUCAUCUCCAGGCCAACAUUGCUCUCCCCUCCCCUCGCCCGAUCCUGCGGCCUCUCCCGUGUUCGGUUCACACUCGAUUUCCACAUUUCCUUCAUGGCUUUUAUGCCUUCCCCUGCCUGCCAAGCGUUGGCCGAGGGUUCACGUUUUUGAUCUCGCCUUUUAUUUCCUUGCGCUCCCCUCCUGGAUUACGGAGAGCGGUGGGAGGACUUGGCGGCACAAGCCGAGUGUUUCUAAGGACAGGCGGAAGGCUGGGAAAGGGGCUUUGGGAAACAGGCUUCCACUUUUGCCCCCAAAAACUCUUGUGCCGCAGCCGCGGGGGAGUCUGGCGCUGGGCAAGGGGGCCCAGCUCGCUGCCCCUCGCGGCGUGGGUGACACUCUGCAGCGGGGGGGGACAAAUCCUGCGCUCUGCCGCAGCUUCAUCCCCCCCCCCCCGGGCUUUCCCGCUGCCUCCCCUCCCGCGGCGGAGUCUCCUGGCUCAGGUGGAGCCCGGGGGGCCGGAGCGGGCGCGGAGCACUGCGCGGGGGCCGCGGAGGGCCGCGCAGCGGCUGCGGGGGGCGCUCCGGGAGCGCCGCGCCCGCGCAUCUGCUUCCAAUGCAGCGCUCGGUAGUUUUAUUUCUGCUCCGCCGUUUAAUAUAAACGAUCCUGUUACACUCCACGCGUCGGAGCCCAGGUCCGUCCCGAGCUCCCCUGGCAGGCGAACAACAACUUUUGGUUUGAAUGAAACUUACCCAAACGCGUGUGAUCUGAGCGAGACUUCCCUGCUCCGGCUGCUGCGGUCUCCCUCGCCCCUCUCCCCCCCCGGCCCCCCCGGCAGCCUCCCUUUUUAUGCCGUAGCGGGGCGAGCUGUUGACAUGACUCUCCGGGAUGCGGUGGUACAGGCUACUCCCUUAUCUUGUCUGCUUGCCAUGGCAGCGGCGGUAGGUUAG